UAGCCAUGGGCAGGUUGAAGGUUGGGUAACACUAACUGGAGGACCGAACCGACUAAUGUUGAAAAAUUAGCGGAUGACUUGUGGCUGGGGGUGAAAGGCCAAUCAAACCGGGAGAUAGCUGGUUCUCCCCGAAAGCUAUUUAGGUAGCGCCUCGUGAAUUCAUCUCCGGGGGUAGAGCACUGUUUCGGCAAGGGGGUCAUCCCGACUUACCAACCCGAUGCAAACUGCGAAUACCGGAGAAUGUUAUCACGGGAGACACACGGCGGGUGCUAACGUCCGUCGUGAAGAGGGAAACAACCCAGACCGCCAGCUAAGGUCCCAAAGUCAUGGUUAAGUGGGAAACGAUGUGGGAAGGCCCAGACAGCCAGGAUGUUGGCUUAGAAGCAGCCAUCAUUUAAAGAAAGCGUAAUAGCUCACUGGUCGAGUCGGCCUGCGCGGAAGAUGUAACGGGGCUAAACCAUGCACCGAAGCUGCGGCAGCGACGCUUAUGCGUUGUUGGGUAGGGGAGCGUUCUGUAAGCCUGUGAAGGUGUACUGUGAGGUAUGCUGGAGGUAUCAGAAGUGCGAAUGCUGACAUAAGUAACGAUAAAGCGGGUGA
rnacentral:rRNA from 1 species